rnacentral:tRNA from 1 species
GGCCGCUUGGUCUAGUAGUAUGAUUCCUGUUUUGGGAUUUUUACGUAGUAGCUUACGUAAGCGAAAAUACAGGAGGUCGUGGGUUCAAUUCCCACAGCGGCCC